UACAGAGGGUGCGAACGUUGCUCGGAAUUACUGGGCGUAAAGCGCAUGUAGGCGGAUCCAUAAGUCGGGCGUGAAAUCCCCAGGCUCAACCUGGGAACUGCGCUCGAAACUGUGGGUCUUGAGUGUCGGAGAGGAUGGCGGAAUUCCUGGUGUAGAGGUGAAAUUCGUAGAUAUCAGGAGGAACACCGGUGGCGAAGGCGGCCAUCUGGACGACAACUGACGCUGAGAUGCGAAAAGCGUGGGGAGCAAACAGGG
rnacentral:rRNA from 1 species